AAAAAGGUGGCUGAGUUUAGGCGCUAGAUUGUAAAUCUAGAAACGAGAAAAUCCUCCCUUUUUA
rnacentral:tRNA from 1 species